rfam:Myotis brandtii contig273275, whole genome shotgun sequence.
GGCCUCCCUCUGUGGGGUGAUCUAUCGUGGGGCCCCCAGAUUCAUCGCCCCACAGAGGGAGGCC